rnacentral:rRNA from 1 species
AGAGUUUGAUCAUGGCUCAGGAUGAACGCUAGCUACAGGCUUAACACAUGCAAGUCGAGGGGAAACGACAUCGAAAGCUUGCUUUUGAUGGGCGUCGACCGGCGCACGGGUGAGUAACGCGUAUCCAACCUGCCCACCACUUGGGGAUAACCUUGCGAAAGUAAGACUAAUACCCAAUGAUAUCUCUAGAAGACAUCUGAAAGAGAUUAAAGAUUUAUCGGUGAUGGAUGGGGAUGCGUCUGAUUAGCUUGUUGGCGGGGUAACGGCCCACCAAGGCAACGAUCAGUAGGGGUUCUGAGAGGAAGGUCCCCCACAUUGGAACUGAGACACGGUCCAAACUCCUACGGGAGGCAGCAGUGAGGAAUAUUGGUCAAUGGGCGAGAGCCUGAACCAGCCAAGUAGCGUGCAGGAAGACGGCCCUAUGGGUUGUAAACUGCUUUUAUAAGGGAAUAAAGUGAGUCUCGUGAGACUUUUUGCAUGUACCUUAUGAAUAAGGACCGGCUAAUUCCGUGCCAGCAGCCGCGGUAAUACGGAAGGUCCGGGCGUUAUCCGGAUUUAUUGGGUUUAAAGGGAGCGUAGGCCGGAGAUUAAGCGUGUUGUGAAAUGUAGACGCUUAACGUCUGCACUGCAGCGCGAACUGGUUUCCUUGAGUACGCACAAAGUGGGCGGAAUUCGUGGUGUAGCGGUGAAAUGCUUAGAUAUCACGAAGAACUCCGAUUGCGAAGGCAGCUCACUGGAGCGCAACUGACGCUGAAGCUCGAAAGUGCGGGUAUCGAACAGGAUUAGAUACCCUGGUAGUCCACGCUGUAAACGAUGAUUACUAGGUGUGGGGGGACUGACCCCUUCCGUGCCGCAGUUAACACAAUAAGUAAUCCACCUGGGGAGUACGGCCGCAAGGUUGAAACUCAAAGGAAUUGACGGGGGCCCGCACAAGCAGUGGAGUAUGUGGUUUAAUUCGAAGCAACGCGAAGAACCUUACCAGGUCUUGACAUCGAGUGCAUAACUAAGAGAUUAGUGAAAUCCCUUCGGGGACACUUAGACAGGUGGUGCAUGGUUGUCGUCAGCUCGUGUCGUGAGAUGUUGGGUUAAGUCCCGCAACGAGCGCAACCCUUACCUUUAGUUGCUACGCAAGAGCACUCUAAAGGGACUGCCGUUGACAAAACGGAGGAAGGUGGGGAUGACGUCAAAUCAUCAUGCCCCUUAUGACCUGGGCUACACACGUACUACAAUGGCAAUCAACAAAGAGAAGCAAGACAGUGAUGUGGAGCAAAUCUCAAAAAAUUGUCCCAGUUCAGAUUGUAGGCUGCAACUCGCCUACAUGAAGUCGGAAUUGCUAGUAAUCGCGGAUCAGAAUGCCGCGGUGAAUACGUUCCCGGGCCUUGUACACACCGCCCGUCACACCAUGGGAGUCGGUAACACCCGAAGUCGGUAGUCUAACAGCAAUGAGGACGCCGCCGAAGGUGGGAUUGAUGACUGGGGUGAAGUCGUAACAAGGUA